UGAGGAAUAUUGGUCAAUGGACGCAAGUCUGAACCAGCCACGUCGCGUGAAGGAAGACGGCCCUACGGGUUGUAAACUUCUUUUGUAAGGGAAUAAAGUGAGCCACGUGUGGCUUUUUGCAUGUACCUUACGAAUAAGGAUCGGCUAACUACGUGCCAGCAGCCGCGGUAAUACGGAGGAUCCGAGCGUUAUCCGGAUUUAUUGGGUUUAAAGGGUGCGUAGGCGGUUCAAUAAGUCAGUGGUGAAAGUUUUCGGCUUAACCGGAAAAUUGCCGUUGAUACUGUUGGGCUUGAAUUUGGUUGCUGUGAGUGGAAUGUGUGGUGUAGCGGUGAAAUGCUUAGAUAUCACACAGAAUAUCGAUUGCGAAGGCAUCUCACAAAGCCAAUAUUGACGCUGAUGCACGAAAGUGUGGGGAUCAAACAGG
rnacentral:rRNA from 1 species